rnacentral:rRNA from 1 species
CGGACGGGUGAGUAAUGUCUGGGAAACUGCCUGAUGGAGGGGAUAACUACUGGAAACGGUAGCUAAUACCGCAUAACGUCGCAAGACCAAAGAGGGGGACCUUCGGGCCUCUUGCCAUCGGAUGUGCCCAGAUGGGAUUAGCUAGUAGGUGGGGUAACGGCUCACCUAGGCGACGAUCCCUAGCUGGUCUGAGAGGAUGACCAGCCACACUGGAACUGAGACACGGUCCAG